GCAAGGUCUAGCACAGAGCCAGUCAAAUCCACCACAGUCCCGCGCUGAGCUAGGAAAAAAGUAAUGACAGGAAAGUGGAGCAAAAGAGGCCCCCAGUCCGGCAUCAGCUGAAUGGGCCACCCUUAGAGAAAUAUAUAUAAAUAUAGAUAUAUAUAUAUAAAUAAAUAUAUAUAUAUUAAAUAAAUAUAUAUAGGAACGAGAACUGUGGGAUUACAUCUUUAAACAUCUCAGUCAAGUGGAAAACUUUUAACGCUCUUUCUGGUUGUUUCGACUGGAAACUUUGUUUAGAGGAAAGUCACGUUCGGCUGGCUUGAAGGACACGGGGUGGAAAACCCAAAAUUGUACCAACCAUCCGAUGAAUGAAUCAAGAACAUUGGACAAAAGGAAAAGAGAAGAGAAGAGAAAAUCACGGCGGGAACAAGAUUGACUUGGAUUUCUACCGUGAACUUGAUCUAAAACCAUCAUAGCUUUUCCCCGAUUCGGAAACGCUAAAAGUGUGCCUGUGGCCAUCACAGAUGGGGUUGCUAUGGCAACCGUCACUAAGCAUUCUUUAUCUGUCAUUCCUUAGCUACAUAGGGACCAAAGGACAUAACUUUUUACCGCAAACUUGUAGUUGUAUGUAAAUUACUCAGAAGAUCUUUCCGUUUCUCUUAGCUGUUCCCGCUAAGACAGCUUUGGGGAGAGAUUCAAUGAAAUAAUGUAUUAAAAAAAAAACACACACAAAAAACACACACAUAAAAAAAACAAAAACUGAAACUCAGCUUCGACGCUUUAAAAAAAAAGGCAAGAUAAUAGUUCUUUGAUACUUCGGAAAGUCUUUGGAUAUACAUUAAUUAGAGUCUAUGAAACUUUCAUAUGGUUUUCUUUAUAAUAGGGAUGGACCAAGGGGAGGGGGGUGUUUCGAAGGGGCAGGUUUCAGGGGAGAAUAUUGUCAGAAGACGAAGAAAAGGGGGGGGAAAAUACGGCUCCAUGUUUGGGUAAGGAGAAAGAAGGAGAAGGAGAAAAAAAAACUGCACCGUAGAACGAGAGCUUGUUUGUAUGAAAAGAGGGAGCCUUCCCUCCCCUACCAAAACCCCUAAUAGUUGUACAGAAUUUAAAAAAAAAAAAGUUUAAAAUACCUAUAUACCGGGGCAGGGGGGAAGAUUAGAUGACAUAAA